CGCAGAAUUUCACAGUUAACCGAGGAAAGAAUUAGGAACUUCCAACACCUUGGCCCUCAGUACCUCAUUCAAACGCACUUCCUUACUCCCACGGAAAAGAAGGAACCCCAGCCUGCGCCGCUCCACGCCGAACAGCAGCUGGGGUCUGCUUGCCCAGCACAGCACAGCCAAACACUGACACUGGGAUAGCAGCAAGAGAGAGUUGAGGCAUCUAUUGCAGGGCACCAAGCAAGGAGAAUUGAGUAGCUCAUGCUUAAGACCUGAACUCCCACACUGCUUACAGGAAGUUCCCGCCAAAUGAGGGAAGAAGCAAAGAAAGUGGAAGUGAUAUCCAAAGACUUCUUGAUUCAGUGAUAGAAACAUGAGCCUCUAGCCUCAACAGUGACAAUUCUGAAGGGCCAUCCCAGCUUCUGCACUUCCUGUAAGAUUGUCUGAAGUCUCUGUUGCUAAUAAUGCAGCAUAAUUUAUCUCUCUGUAAAAUCCUGCCUCCUCACUCCUGACUGUUAUUAUUCCCAAAGAGCACUCUGCAAUAAAUAUCAGGUGGCAA